rnacentral:rRNA from 1 species
AGCUCCAAUAGCGUAUAUUAAAGUUGUUGCAGUUAAAAAGCUCGUAGUUGGAUCUCGGGUCCGGGCUGGCGGUCCUAUUCGCGUAGGUACUGCUUGUUCCGACCUCCCUGCCGGUUUUCCCUUGGUGCUCUUCACUGAGUGCCUUGGGUGGCCGGAACGUUUACUUUGAAAAAAUUAGAGUGUUCAAGGCAGGCGUCUCGCCUGAAUAUUGUUGCAUGGAAUAAUGGAAUAGGACCUCGGUUCUAUUUUGUUGGUUUUCGGAACUGGAGGUAAUGAUUAAGAGGGACAGACGGGGGCAUUAGUAUUACGGUGUUAGAGGUGAAAUUCUUGGAUCGCCGUAAGACUAACUACUGCGAAAGCAUUUGCCAAGAAUGUUUUCA